UAGACGUUGCAAAGAAUUGCACUCGCCAACCAAUCCGAGACGCUAGUGCAACCAAGAAGUAAUCAAUAAUUAACCAAUGAGGAUAUAGCUAUAGCGGGACCUUUAAACUCUGGAAGAGGACCAUGGAAAAAUAUAUUUCCUCUCAGGUAAUUUUGUUCGGGAGUUGAGUUAUCUUUAUUUUCUGAAGUAACGUUUACUAUGAGCUAUGGCGGGACCUUUAAACGCUAGAAUAAAAUCAUGGAAAAACAUAUUUCCUCUCAGGUUAUUUUGGCGAGAUAUCUUUCUUUUCUGGAGUAACGUUAGCUACAAUUAUUGUUGUCUGCCGUUUUCAUUCACCAUCAUCAUCGAUCGGAAUAUCUAGCAGCAGACAUGGAGGCCAGGUUCAGAAAACUGCCAAAUGGAAGCCUUGUCUUAACUGACAGUAAGGAUUCCAGGAUUUACAGGACAAAAACGACUAAAAGUGCAUAGAGCAGGGCUGUGUCUCCAGACAAAGUGGUGGAUUCAGCCAGGAGGGCUGUACUGCUCAGAGGUGGCAACCCAGCAAGCAGGACAAAUUUGCUGGGUCAGCAUGAGAUGCAGUUUGGCCGUUGAAAGGGGCAGACCUUCAAGUGGGUGGUUGAAAAUGUGCUGGCCUGGGUAUUUGGUGACAUCAAUGCAGAAAGAAUCUGCCUCAGCCAGCGAGGAGUGAUUUAAAAAACCAUGCUGCUAAUAGGAUGGCUUUCAAGGAAUACAUGGAGCUCUUCCCUGAGGGCCGGUUGCGACAACCAAUCAUAACCAAGUCCACCACCCAGCCAUCCUCAAACACCCAGCCAUCCUCUGCCAUCCUCCACCACCCAGCCAUCCUCUACCACCCAGCUAAAAAGACCAGAUGACCACUUGUUCCCAGAGGUCCUCAACAUCCUCACUCAGGUCAUUGCUGGUUGGAAAACUACGCCUCUCCCAGAAUCUCGACAGCACAAUAAGGAAGCUCAUUGUUAGCCGUGAAUCCUCCGAAACACAACCCAGCCAAGCUGCACUGCUUCUUGACAUAAUGCUUAACCCUGAAGCCAGCCGCACCAAUGUGUCGGAGGAAACGCCGUACACCUGGCGACCUUGUCAGCGAGUACUUCGCUCGGCCCGCCACAGGAGUUACUAGUGCCGGAUGGGACAAGAACAUCCCUGCUGGCAAAACCCUCCGCUAACCUAGAUGACGUGGCAAUUGUGCGCCGCCCCAUGGGUCUCCCGGUCGCGGCCGGCUGUGACAGAGCCUGGACAUAAAAGAGCCUGAAUUUAAAACAUGAUCUCUAGCGGCACAGCUAGCCUUAGAUCAGUGCGCCCCUCCGGAGGCACGGUAGGAUAGUCUUAAUCGUAGAUCAUCCAUUUUAUUUUCCAGUGAUUGCACGUUGGCCAAUAGAACGGAUGCUAGUGGAGGUUUACUCACUCGCCUACGAAUUCUCAUAAGGCAGCCUGAUCUCCGCUCCUUUUUUGCCGUCUUCAUGCAAAUUAUGAGGAUUUGGGCUUGUUCUCGAGAAAGCAGUAUAUCCUUCGAGUCGGAAUAUUUGUCCAAUUCGAGGUAGCAGCAACAUUAUGUACAAAAUAAGUUACAAACAACACAAACAAAAAAGCACAGUUGGUUAGGAGCCGUAAAACAGCAGCUAUCCCCUCCGGCGCCAUGGGUUACACAUGGUGUACACGGUCCAACGAAAUGCUUACAUGCUAAUUAUUACAGGGACAGGGCUAGGAGUUGAAUUUUUCUUUAUCACAACGAUCAUACUCUCAGUUAUGAUAAUUGCUUUGAUAUUCAAUUAAUGGUCUAAAUGCACAUGAUAAUAAAUGGACCAAUAUUGAAUUGACCAGUCAAAAACAUUCUUGUAUGAUAUAAUGAUCAGUUCUAACAGAAGCCUCCUUAGCGCAGUAGGUAGCGCGUCAGUCUCAUAAUCUGAAGGUCGUGAGUUCGAUCCUCACAGGGGGCAGUGAUUUUACCAACAAUCUCUUUAGCCCACCCGAGAGUAAAAUGUAGGCAAGAUAAUUUAGUGUUUGUAGUCUGCCGAAUGUAAUUUAAAAAAAAUAUCAAAUUCAAACACUUCAAUUGGCUAAUGGUAGGUUGUAGAGCUGCUAUAAUGCAAAGUGUUUGUUACAAUGCAAAGAUUUUUUUGCCUAACAUUAAAAUGAAAUUGAUCUGGUAAUGUAAGACAUAGACUUUCUUUCACUUUCGCUUUCAAAAGCGGACAGUUACAUCUAUAUACGCAGUCAAGCGUUGGUGGUAUAGUGUUUCGCGUAGUUGUAUUCUGAUGUAUGGACUCGGGUUCGAUUCCCGGCCAGUGAAAUCCGAUAUUUUGUUUGAAUCACCCUUUAAAAUUAAUCUCUUCAUAUAGCUUGUUAGGCAUAUAUUUUAUGUCACUUUCAAAAACUGGAUACUCCAAGUUAAAUUUCAGCUAAGCGUUGGUGGUAUAGUGGUGAGCAUAGCUGCCUUCCAAGCAGUUGACCCGGGUUCGAUUCCCGGCCAACGCAGCUGAUUUUUGUGUUAAUAAAAUAUUGAAGUUUUAUUCUAUUCA